rnacentral:rRNA from 1 species
AACGCGAAGAACCUUACCAGGGUUUGACAUGCCUGCGCAGCGUUCAGAGAUGGGUGUACCCGCAAGGGACGCAGGCACAGGUGCUGCAUGGCUGUCGUCAGCUCGUGCCGUGAGGUGUUGGGUUCAGUCCCGCAACGAGCGUAACCCCUAUCGGUAGUUACAUUUACUACCGAGACUGCCCCGAUCAACGGGGAGGAAGGUGGGGAUGACGUCAAGUCAGCACGGCCCUUACAUCCUGGGCGACACACACGCUACAAUGGCCGGUACAGAGGGAAGCCAACCCGCGAGGGGGAGCUAAUCCAAUCAAAGCCAGUCUCAGUUCGGAUUGCAGGCUGCAACCCGCCUGCAUGAAGCUGGAGUUGCUAGUAACCGUGGGUCAGCACACCACGGUGAAUACGUUCCCGGGCCUUGUACACACCGCACGA